CCCUUAGAUGUUCUGGGCGGCCCGCGCACUACACUGGCACUCUCAAUCAGAGCCUAGAUCUAACACUUUGGGGUAUUCUAUGAAGAGGUGUCGUGACUGGGAUUAACCCUUGCAAUUAUUGGUUACGAACGAGGAAUUCCUUGUAAUCGCGGUUUAUCAGCCCGCGUUGAAUGCGUCCCUGCCCUUUGUACACACCGCCCGUCGCUCCUACCGAUUGAGUGGUCCGGUGAGGCUUUGGGAUCUGAGCGGAAAGAGCGUUUCGCUGUUUCUGCUCGGAAAACUCAGUCGAACCUUAUCAUUUAGAGGAAGGAGAAGUCGUAACA
rnacentral:rRNA from 1 species